rnacentral:lncRNA from 1 species
UAGAGAUAAGGCGCUUCAGGACUACCGCAAGAAGUUGCUUGAACACAAGGAGAUCGACGGCCGUCUUAAGGAGUUAAGGGAACAAUUAAAAGAACUUACCAAGCAGUAUGAAAAGUCUGAAAAUGAUCUGAAGGCCCUACAGAGUGUUGGGCAGAUCGUGGGUGAAGUGCUUAAACAGUUAACUGAAGAAAAAUUCAUUGUUAAAGCUACCAAUGGACCAAGAUAUGUUGUGGGUUGUCGUCGACAGCUUGACAAAAGUAAGCUGAAGCCAGGAACAAGAGUUGCUUUGGAUAUGACUACACUAACUAUCAUGAGGUGAUAGAAUUACCUCUUACAAACCCAGAGUUAUUUCAGCGUGUAGGAAUAAUACCUCCAAAAGGCUGUUUGUUAUAUGGACCACCAGGUACGGGAAAAACACUCUUGGCACGAGCCGUUGCUAGCCAGCUGGACUGCAAUUUCUUAAAGGUUGUAUCUAGUUCUAUUGUAGACAAGUACAUUGGUGAAAGUGCUCGUUUGAUCAGAGAAAUGUUUAAUUAUGCUAGAGAUCAUCAACCAUGCAUCAUUUUUAUGGAUGAAAUAGAUGCUAUUGGUGGUCGUCGGUUUUCUGAGGGUACUUCAGCUGACAGAGAGAUUCAGAGAACGUUAAUGGAGUUACUGAAUCAAAUGGAUGGAUUUGAUACUCUGCAUAGAGUUAAAAUGAUCAUGGCUACAAACAGACCAGAUACACUGGAUCCUGCUUUGCUGCGUCCAGGAAGAUUAGAUAGAAAAA